ensembl:lncRNA
CUCGUUGCCCAAGACCAGCCUCGCUGCUCCUGCCCUUCGGCUUCGGACCAUCAGAACAUUGUGCAACGGGACUACUGUCAAAUCCUGGUGGAAAACCUUGAAAAAGAGUCAUCUCCUCAGCUCCAUAAACAAGAGAAUAAUUUGGAAGCUGGAUAGAAUAUCCAAAGCUGUAAAUGGAAAGCAGAAAAUAUUUUUUCUUCCAAAGACUGGAAAGUCUUAAGUUGAAAUAUCAAGGACUUUUAUGAAGCAGAAAAGAUUUUUUGAUGUAGACCGUCUAGUGAAAAAAAAAAAAAGACAAUUUUUUGAAGAGGAUUAGACAUGCUACAGAAAGAUAUUCCAAAUGAUCUUUUGUUUUGUCCAGUUCUGGUCAAAACAGAAGUGAAAGAAACUUUUCCCUCAUUACACAAAUGCAGUACACAGGUUCUCUCACUAUUGGCAAGUCACUUCACAUUUCUAUUUUCAUGCUAAUUUGAAAAUGCUAAGGGGAAAAAUAUUAGAGCAAUGGAGUGCUUAGCUGAGAAAUAUUCUGAUCACCAAAACCGAUUUGCAAUUGUAUCAAUAUGAAUAUGUUUACGAAUGUGUUUACUCUUCUUUUUUUUUUUUUUGCAUUUUCUGCUACUAAUGAAAUUGUUGAAUACAGAAAUAAGUUCUUAUUCUUUAGAAAAAUAGAAUUGUAUGACUUGUAAACCAUUUUACAUUUUUCCUUUGUUUUAACUGAUGCUGUAUAAAAAGGUCAUUUCAUCUUUAUAUUCUUAAUAACUCGUCCAUAAUCCUAUCUCCCCAAACUGUUACAGAUUGUUAUUAGAAUUCUUGUGAUUAGAUGAUUUUCUCAUACCUGCCAACAUAGUUCAUAUUUAUGACAAGUGUAAACUUCUCCACUGUAUUCCAAUAACCAAUGGCCUUGUUGUCUCCAUCACUGAAAUAUUUACACACAGGAAUUACCAGAAAAUACUGGUAGUUGGCCCAGGAGGUUAUUCUUUCUUUCAUUGUCCCAGUGUUUAUCUUGGUCCCAUUGUCUAUCCAACCUAUCUGAGGACUAACUCCUGGCUUAUCUGACUUGUGCUGCUUUGAUGUCCCAGUUUUGCAUAUGAAUAUUGAAUAAUUAAGAGACCACUUAUAAAAAAAAAGUCUUCAUCAAGACAAAUAUGGACCACACAUUCCUUCCAAGGAGUAGUUGAGUGGAGACAGAGCUUUUCAGUUUGUUCCCAGGCUGCUUCUUUUGCCUUCUCUUUAUCCGUAGUUAUGGACUCUUUGGAGAUUUUUGAGCUUGUUUGUUUAUUUGUUUUUCCUAGUAAUUACCCAUGAGGACUGAAAAUAAUUUUUCUCCCUCUCAGUGUUUCAGUGUAUGUUCUCAGGUACGGAGACAGUUUGAAAACAGCCUUAUUUUCAUAGUGUGAGAAAAAAGAAGUGAAUUGGAGUGCACUUAGAAAUAUGCACCCUUUGUUUCCAAAUUGCCUUCAGGAAACAAUAAUAUUUCUGAAUAUUCUAGUGUUUAAGGUAAUAUUGUUUCAGUUUUUCCUUUGAAACAUUUCCUUCACUUGAACCCUUUCUUUGUCAAGUCUGUUUUUUUAAAUAAUAAUAAUAAAAAAAACAUAGGGACCAAUGUAAUUGCAAUGAACAGUUAAUAAUAAUAUGAAAAGGAUAUAAUAUAAUAAAUAAGAAAAGGAUAAAAUAAAUCAGAUAUCAGGCAUACGUCCAUCUGCCAUGAAUAAUUAGAUAAUUUUCUGCCAACUAGAGUACUCAUUCAGCACUUUGAAGACAUGAAUGUUGGUGAUCUCUUGCUUCAAUUCUUCUCUUCCUGUUCCAUAUUAUUACAAAGCAGCAAAGAUCCUACAGGAUGACAGGAUGACUGCAACAACCAAUUAGAAAGUUGUUGUUUUGAUAAGCGAAGACCCCUUUCUGGGUUUCACCAAACUUCCUCAUCUUUCCUCCACAGCUUUCCUAAUGCCAGAUUUUUUGUGUGGAUUGAAAACAGAAACUUUUUAGCAAUCAUUAUGGGUUUUAUAAAGUGAGAAAAAAAAUUUCCUACGUAUCUGUAAUUACUGUAUUCACUGUAUUCACAACAGCAAGGAUUUUAUCUGUAUCUCGUUCAUAAUGUGGACAAACAGUACCAGCUUUGUUGACAGGGUAACGGCCUCUUUUUUAAUAAAAAUUUAAUUGGCCUG